rnacentral:rRNA from 1 species
GCAGCCGCGGUAAUACGGAGGAUGCGAGCGUUAUCCGGAUUUAUUGGGUUUAAAGGGUGCGCAGGCGGCGUGCCAAGUCAGCGGUAAAAAUGCGGUGCUCAACGCCGUAUAGCCGUUGAAACUGACAUGCUAGAGUGAGCGAGAAGUAUGCGGAAUGCGUGGUGUAGCGGUGAAAUGCAUAGAUAUCACGCAGAACCCCGAUUGCGAAGGCAGCAUACCGGCGCUCAACUGACGCUCAGGCACGAAAGUGCGGGGAUCAAACAGGAUUAGAUACCCC